UGCGCGGCUAGGGUUUAGGGUUUUAGGUAGGCUCCUCCCAUUUUUCUAUCCAUGGAGCUAGUGCGCCUAGCUGGAGCCAUGGGGCUCAAGCGCGCGCAGCCGCUUGGUGCCAUUAGCAGUGUUGGAAUGGCGGCAUUUGGAGCUGGAGCGAAGAAAUCCAGGGUAAAUGCGCGUGGGUUUUCGAUUGCCGCGGCUGCUGUCGUCGACCAGGACGAGCGAGCGGCCCGGCGCCUCAGGAGAAAGAAGGAGGUGAGCGUAGCGGAUGCGCUCGCGCCUCCAUCAACGUCGCUAGCGCCUCCAUCUCCGGCGCCUCCUCUUUCAAGCCAGGGGAGCAUUCCUGUGGACAAUGGCAAGAAGUCUCAUCUAUCGAAUUCACGAUUUGAUCAGUUUGAAGUUCAUGCUCUCACGCUCAAGGCGAUUAAGAAUGUGCUGGGCUACGAGGUGAUGACAAUGGUGCAAGAAGCGACUUUACCAUUGAUUCUCAAAGGCGAGGAUGUUCUGGCCAAGGCAAAAACGGGCACGGGGAAGACGAUUGCGUUCUUGCUUCCGACUAUUGAGACCAUUCUGGCGAGCAAGAAUGCGCAAACUUAUCAUGAAAAUCCCAUUCGCGCUCUUGUCAUCUGUCCGACAAGAGAACUGGCGAUGCAAGCGGCUGUUGAGGCUCAAACCUUGAUGAAAUUCCACAAUGAACUGGGAGCUCAGACUGCUAUAGGUGGGAACAGCUCUGUCAUGGAAGCCAAGAAGAUAAAGCUCCAGCCUUGCCAGAUUUUGGUUGGCACACCGGGAAGGCUACUAGAUCACAUACAAAAUGCGAGAGGCUUUGCCGAUCAGUUGAAAUCCGUGAAAAUCCUUAUUCUUGACGAAGCAGACACCUUGCUGGACAUGGGAUUCCGUCAAAAUCUCACCGAGAUCCUAAAAGCUCUUCCAAAAAAACGUCAAACGCUUCUCUUCUCGGCAACCAUUCCCAAAGAAGUGCAUAGCAUCUCUCAGUUGGCUUUGAAGCCGGAUCAUAAGUUCGUUGAUACUGUCGGACAGGACACUGAAACACACGCAAUGGUAAACCAGAAGUAUGCUGUCGUUCCACAAGAAAGUCAGUUUGCGGUGUUAUACUCAAUUCUGAAAGAACACAUCGCUGUGGAACCGAAAUACAAGGUUCUGGUGUUUUGCACUACUGCAAACAUAACAGCUUACAUGGCUGCACUCUAUCAGAAGCUGGGUUUCAACGUACGAGAAAUACAUUCGCGCAAGACACAAACGUAUCGCACUCGCGUAUCUGACGAGUUUCGUAAUUGCAAAGGCGGACUCAUUAUGUUUACGUCGGAUGUCUCCGCUCGAGGGAUUGAUUAUCCGGACGUUACCUUGGUGGUUCAGAUUGGAGUUCCAGCAGCUCGGGAGCAGUAUAUCCAUCGCCUUGGACGAACUGGCCGUGCAGGAAAGGAGGGGCAGGGAGUUUUGAUUCUACUCCCUUGGGAAGAGCCUUUCCUGAGAAAGCUGAAGGACAUAUCAAUCGGGCGAAUGGAGACACCAAAAGUUUUGGAUUUGUCGAAGAAGCUAAGGUCAGUGAUCUCAGACAUCGACCAAACGAUUGGAACCAGGGCGUACCAAUCGUGGCUGGGAUAUUACACCACGGCUAAGUCUCUGUCGAUCGACAAGCACACGGUUGUGGAGUACUCAAGGAAAUACUGGGCAAGCCUAGGAUUCUCCAGCGCUCCCGCAAUACCCAGGCUCACCAUCAAGAAGAUGGGACUAGCUGGAAUCCUUGACUGAAUCCAACACGAGUCAGGAGUGGCGUGGCGAGUCAAAGCUCCUCGAGAAGAACACUCCGGGAGGAGGAGUGCAGGGAAAUCGAGAGCUCCUCCUCCCGAGUUUUAAGUCGCCACUACCUCGUGGAAUCAAGAAAAAAAAAAGCAUAGAGAUUUCUUUCCAAGGGUAAAGUAAGAUCGACUCAAAGGCAUGAAGUUAAGAUCAUGCGAAAACAAUGGUGGCCACAUGGAAUGAUUAGGGUGGAUUUGCAAGUCGCUUUCAGCGCAAAAGUGGUUCCUGUUGAGCACAUGAGAUGAGCAUGAAUUGAGAAUAUCUUCAUCUAAAAGAUCUCUCUUUUUCUUAAAUAUAGAUGUUUUAGUUGAUACA